UAUCGAUCCUGCGGCGAUUAGUGUUCC
rnacentral:sRNA from 1 species